UACGAAGGGGGCUAGCGUUGCUCGGAAUCACUGGGCGUAAAGCGCACGUAGGCGGAUUGUUAAGUCAGGGGUGAAAUCCUGGAGCUCAACUCCAGAACUGCCUUUGAUACUGGCGAUCUUGAGUCCGGGAGAGGUGAGUGGAACUCCGAGUGUAGAGGUGAAAUUCGUAGAUAUUCGGAAGAACACCAGUGGCGAAGGCGGCUCACUGGCCCGGUACUGACGCUGAUGUGCGAAAAGCGUGGGGAGCAAACAGG
rnacentral:rRNA from 1 species